UCUUACAGAUGAGCAAAAAAAGUGGUUUCUUGAGAUGGAAUCUACUCAUGGUUAAAAUGCUAUGAA
rnacentral:pre_miRNA from 1 species